GACGAACGCUGGCGGCGUGCUUAACACAUGCAAGUCGAACGAAGUGGCGAACGGGUGAGUAACGCGUAAUCAACCUGCCCUUAAGAGGGGGACAACAGGUGGCAACGAAUGAUAAUACCGCAUACUGAAGGAGGGUAUUGCGUCUGAUUAGGUAGUUGGAGGGGUAACGGCCCACCAAGGCGAUGAUCAGUGGCCGGUCUGAGAGGAUGAACGGCAAAGUUGGGACUGAGACACGGCCCAGACUCGUACGGGAGGCAGCAGGGGGGAAUCUUCCGCAAUGGACGAAAGUCUGACGGAGCAACGCCGCGUGAGUGAUUACGGCCUUUGUGUUGUAAAGCUCUGUUAAUCGGGACGCGGGACCGGAAUAGAAAGCCACGGAUAACUACGUGGCAGCAGCCGCGGUAAUAC
rnacentral:rRNA from 1 species